rnacentral:tRNA from 1 species
GGUGUUGUAGCUCAGUGGUAGAGCACUUGCCUGGCAUGUAUGAGGCCCUGGGUUCAAUCCUCAGCACCACAU